AGCAGCCGCGGUAAUUCCAGCUCCAAUAGCGUAUAUUAAAGUUGUUGCAGUUAAAAAGCUCGUAGUUGAAUUUCGGGAUCAGUACGCUGGUCGUGCCUCCGGUAUGUACUGGUGUCACUGAUUCCUUCCUUCUGAAGAACCAUCAUGCCAUUAAUUUGGUGUGGUGGGGAAUCAGGACUGUUACUUUGAAAAAAUUGAGUGUUUAAAGCAGGCUCGCGCUUGAAUACAUUAGCAUGGAAUAAUGGAAUAGGACGUUUAUCCUAUUUUGUUGGUUUCUUGGAUUGACGUAAUGAUUAAUAGGGAUAGUUGGGGGCAUUAGUAUUCAAUUGUCAGAGGUGAAAUUCUUGGAUUUAUUGAAGACUAACUACUGCGAAAGCAAUUUGCCAAGGAUUG
rnacentral:rRNA from 1 species